GACGAACGCUGGCGGCGUGCCUAACACAUGCAAGUUGAGCGACGAACCAGGGCUUGCCCUGGGGCAAAGCAGCGAACGGGUGAGUAACACGUGGGUAACCUGCCCCGAUAACCGGGACAACCCGAGGAAACUCGGGCUAAUACCGGAUGUGCUCGCCGGACACCAGUCCGGCGCGUAAAGGAAGCUUCGGCCUCCGUAUCGGGAGGGGCCCGCGGCCCAUUAGCUAGUUGGUGAGGUAACGGCUCACCAAGGCCGCGAUGGGUAGCUGGUCUGAGAGGACGAUCAGCCACACUGGGACGGAGACACGGCCCAGACUCCUACGGGAGGCAGCAGUGGGGAAUCUUGCGCAAUGCGCGAAAGCGUGACGCAGCAACGCCGCGUGGGGGAAGAAGGCCUUCGGGUUGUAAACCCCUUUCAGGAGGGACGAAGGUUCGGCGGUGAAUAGCCGCCCGGACUGACGGUACCUCCACAAGAAGCCCCGGCUAACUACGUGCCAGCCGCCGCAGUAACAC
rnacentral:rRNA from 1 species